rnacentral:rRNA from 1 species
AACGCGAAGAACCUUACCUGGGUUUGACAUGCCUGAAGUAGGCGCCAGAAACGGUUGCCCACCCGUAAAGUCGGGAACAGGUGCAGGUGUUGCAUGGCUGUCGUCAGCUCGUGCCGUGAGGUGUUGGGUUAAGUCCCGCAACGAGCGCAACCCUCGUCCUAUGUUGCGACCGAGUUAUGUCGAGCACUCAUAGGAGACUGCCGGAGAAACUCCGGAGGAAGGAGAGGAUGACGUCAAGUCCGCAUGGCCCUUAAGCCCAGGGCUGCUAACGCGCUACAAUGCGCGGUACAACGGGCUGCGAUCUCGCAAGAGGGAGCCAAUCCCGAAAAGCCGCGCCCAGUUCGGAUCGGGGUCUGCAACCCGACCCCGUGAAGUUGGAGUCGCUAGUAAUGGCAGAUCAGCAUGCUGCCGUGAAUGCGUUCCCGGGCCUUGUACACACCGACGCGUA